ACGCUGGCGGCACGCCUAACACAUGCAAGUCGAACGAAGUAGCAAUACUUAGUGGCAGACGGGUGAGUAACAUGUGGGUAUCUGCCCUUUGGCCUGGAAUAACACGAGGAAACUUGUGCUAAUACCGGAUAAGUCUUUACGGAGAAAGCUUUAUGCACCAUUGGAUGAGCCCGCACUUGAUUAGUUUGUUGGUAGGGUAAUGGCCUACCAAGACUGUGAUCAAUAGCUGAUUUGAGAGGAUGAUCAGCCACAUUGGGACUGAGACACGGCCCAAACUCCUACGGGAGGCAGCAGUGGGGAAUCUUGCACAAUGGAGGAAACUCUGAUGCAGCGAUGCCGCGUGAGUGAAGAAGGCCCUUGGGUUGUAAAGCUCUUUCGUCGGGGAAGAAAAUGACUGUACCUGAAUAAGAAGGUCCGGCUAACUUCGUGCCAGCAGCCGCGGUAAUACGAAGGGACCUAGCGUAGUUCGGAAUUACUGGGCUUAAAGAGUUCGUAGGUGGUUGAAAAAGUUGGUGGUGAAAUCCCAGAGCUUAACUCUGGAACUGCCAUCAAAACUUUUCAGCUAGAGUUUGAUAGAGGAAAGCAGAAUUUCUAGUGUAGAGGUGAAAUUCGUAGAUAUUAGAAAGAAUACCAAUUGCGAAGGCAGCUUUCUGGAUCAUUACUGACACUGAGGAACGAAAGCAUGGGUAGCGAAGAGGAUUAGAUACCCUCGUAGUCCAUGCCGUAAACGAUGUGUGUUAGACGUUGGAAAUUUAUUUUCAGUGUCGCAGCGAAAGCGAUAAACACACCGCCUGGGGAGUACGACCGCAAGGUUAAAACUCAAAUGAAUUGACGGGGACCCGCACAAGUAGUGGAGCAUGUGGUUUAAUUCGAAGAUACGCGCAGAACCUUACCAACACUUGACAUGUUCGUCGCGACUUUAAGAGAUUAAAGUUUUCGGUUCGGCCGGACGAAACACAGGUGCUGCAUGGCUGUCGUCAGCUCGUGUCGUGAGAUGUUGGGUUAAGUCCCGCAACGAGCGCAACCCUCACUUUUAGUUGCCAUCAUUAAGUUGGGCACUCUGAAAGAACUGCCAGUGAUAAGCUGGAGGAAGGUGGGGAUGACGUCAAGUCCUCAUGGCCCUUACGUGUUGGGCUACACACGUGCUACAAUGGUAUUUACAACAGGAAGCAAAACAGCGAUGUUAAGCAAAUCCUUAAAAGAUACCUCAGUUCGGAUUGCACUCUGCAACUCGAGUGCAUGAAGCUGGAAUUACUAGUAAUCGUGGAUCAGCGUGCCACGGUGAAUGCGUUCCCGGGUCUUGUACACACCGCCCGUCACACCAUGGGAGUUGGUUCUACCUUAAGGCAAGGUUUUAAACCCUUGACCACGGUAUAGUCAGCGACUGGGGUGAAGUCGUAACAAGGUAGCCGUAGGGGAACCUGCGGCUGGAUUACCUCCUUUCU
rnacentral:rRNA from 1 species